rnacentral:lncRNA from 1 species
CGGUGCGCCCGGCUCCGCCCAGGUCCGGGUCACAUGAGGAAUGCCCUGGCGGGACGCGAAGCGGCGCAGGCGAGACUUGGACGUCAGGUAUCCUUCAAGGCCUGUGCUCUCCUGCCGGCCGCACACCCCGACCUCAGUUUCCUCUUCUACCGCGCCUAACUGCAGCGUGAGCAACCGUGCCCAGCCACGAUUAGCAAGGUGGAGUAGAAAAGGGAUUUUAGAUCAAACUGCCAGGGCGGAAACUGUCUUAGCACAGCCGCGUCGGUGCGGAUACGUGCGAGUACCAAGAGAUGCAGGAGAGGAAAUUCCAUUUUCUUAUCCCCUGGAUGUGGAGAUGUCUGCACAAGGCACUUGAGACUUCUGUAGCCCCUUGAAACUAUGAGAGGAGACUCAGCCAACCCAGGGGGAACAAGAUGGAAACCAUCAGCACCCUGGAUGACACCACUGACUGCCCCCCCCCCCGCCCCGCAAAACCCUGGAAAUGGCUGAUGUUUGACCUUCUGCUUUGUGAGGGAAUAGAGACUUCUGCCAGGGGUGCUAGUUACUGAUUGCCCCCAACUCGUAAUGUAUGCUUUGUGACCCACAAUUAAUUGAUUUAAGUGGUUCACUUGAAAGUGAGUGUAACAUUAAGCUUUUGGAGUAGAGGGCUCUGCCGUGGCAUUGUAGAAGAGAUCCUCUCACCAUGUGUUAUGUUUUGUAUCUAGGUGUCUCCCAAAGCCUCAUUCGGUCAUAGGCCUUUUCCGAGGUGGCUGAACCUAGAGUGUGUGAUGGUAGGAUUAAAGAUGUGUGGUUACUAAACCAGUGCACUGACUCAUUUGGCACUGCCCUAAUCCCAGUAGUCUGGAUAAGAUAAAAGGGGCAGAAACACUGUUAAAGUCCCUUGUUUGGCUCCCUUCUGGCUGCCAUGAACUGUUUCUCUGCAAGUCCUCUCUGCCAUGCCACCCUGCCUUGGAGCCAGCAGAUUAUAGAUUCAAACCUCUACAAACUAUGAGCUAAAUAAACCUUCCUCCUUUAACUUUGAGUGUUGGAUAUUUUGUCUCAACAAGAAAAGUAGCACACCGUGCUCAGCGGUCCAUGGCUGCAGGUGUACCCUACCUGCUCCCCCUGCACACAGAAGGUGACCCAUGGAGUGCCAGGCCAGCGCCAGCCAGACAUACCAGAUGGCUGCUGUGCGCUGUAUGCUGGGCUAAAGCGCAUCUGCCCUAAAGAGAUCUGAGCCCUCCCACAUUUGUUCCCACUUGGGUCCUCCUCCUCGGCCAGAGGAUCUCACAGAGAGUUUCCUUACAUCUUACAGCCACUCUCAUAUUGGUUGGCAGUUCCUGACAUUAAUCUUCCCUUCAAUAUGUGAGGCAGUGCAUGUCAACUAGCUCAAGUUAUCUAUCCCAUGGUGUGUAUACAUGUCAAAACAUCAAGUUACACCUGAUG